rnacentral:rRNA from 1 species
UACGAAGGGUGCAAACGUUGCUCGGAAUUAUUGGGCGUAAAGCGCACGUAGGCGGCAUUGCAAGUCGGAUGUGAAAUCUUAUGGCUUAACCAUAAAAGUGCAUCCGAAACUGCAGUGCUUGAGUACUUAAGAGGAUCGCGGAAUUCCCGGUGUAGAGGUGAAAUUCGUAGAUAUCGGGAGGAACACCAGUGGCGAAGGCGGCGAUCUGGGAAGAUACUGACGCUGAGGCGCGAAAGCUAGGGGAGCAAACGGG